GACGAACCGUGCGAACGUUGUUCGGAAUCACUGGGCUUAAAGGGCGCGUAGGCGGCUCGCGAGGUCGGGGGUGAAAUCCCACAGCUCAACUGUGGAAGUGCCUUCGAUACCGGCGGGCUGGAGGAAGGUAGGGGUGCGCGGAACUUCUGGUGGAGCGGUGAAAUGCGUUGAUAUCAGAAGGAACGCCGGCGGCGAAAGCGGCGCACUGGACCUUUUCUGACGCUGAGGCGCGAAAGCCAGGGGAGCAAACGGG
rnacentral:rRNA from 1 species